UAGACCUGAGGUCAGGCAAGACCACCCGC
rnacentral:rRNA from 1 species